rnacentral:rRNA from 2 species
GUGCCUAAUACAUGCAAGUCGAACGCGUUGGCCCAAUUGAUUGAUGGUGCUUGCACCUGAUUGAUUUUGGUCGCCAACGAGUGGCGGACGGGUGAGUAACACGUAGGUAACCUGCCCAGAAGCGGGGGACAACAUUUGGAAACAGAUGCUAAUACCGCAUAACAACGUUGUUCGCAUGAACAACGCUUAAAAGAUGGCUUCUCGCUAUCACUUCUGGAUGGACCUGCGGUGCAUUAGCUUGUUGGUGGGGUAAUGGCCUACCAAGGCGAUGAUGCAUAGCCGAGUUGAGAGACUGAUCGGCCACAAUGGGACUGAGACACGGCCCAUACUCCUACGGGAGGCAGCAGUAGGGAAUCUUCCACAAUGGGCGCAAGCCUGAUGGAGCAACACCGCGUGAGUGAAGAAGGGUUUCGGCUCGUAAAGCUCUGUUGUUAAAGAAGAACACGUAUGAGAGUAACUGUUCAUACGUUGACGGUAUU